CACCUCCCUGGAUUGCACCUGGAGUGUUUCUGGUAAUCUACCAGCCUCGGCUAUAGGAGGGAGAGUCAAGCAGAGGCACACCCAUUCCAUUCCCAGCUUGGACAGUGGCUAGCACGUGGAAGACAAUCUGCUACAAGU